rnacentral:sRNA from 1 species
AAUGACUUUGAAAUUUGUAAGUUUUAAAUUUUGGUUACUUUUAAUAUGUUGCGCCAUCAACUCUGCAUAUGGGGACAAUGCAUGUUCCAAUUGCUUUCCACAUGGCGAGUGCCAAACUAACAGAGAGGGUUGGGCAGCCCCUCCGCAUGCCAUUGGCGACAAGUCAUUGGUUGCAAGAACUGGUCCAUAUGGCUACAUCGAUCAUGGCAGAUUAGAACAUUGCAUCAAUGCCGAAUAUCGACUAACAGGUGAUGUCUUCGACUACAUAUGCUUUUGGAAGAAACCACACAAAUGUGAAGCUGUUGUGCCCCAUUACAAGUUGCAAAAUAGAGAACUGAUGAAGCGCAUC